GGAGGGUGCAAGCGUUGUUCGGAAUUAUUGGGCGUAAAGCGCGUGCAGGCGGUUGGGUAAGUCAGAUGUGAAAGCCUUCCGCUUAACGGAAGAAGUGCAUUUGAAACUGCUCAGCUAGAGUACGGGAGAGGAGAGUGGAAUUCCCGGUGUAGAGGUGAAAUUCGUAGAUAUCGGGAGGAACACCAGUGGCGAAGGCGGCUCUCUGGUCCGAUACUGACGCUGAGACGCGAAAGCGUGGGGAGCAAACAGGAUUAGAUACCCUGGUAGUCCACGCUGUAAACGAUGGGCACUAGGUGUAGGAGGUAUUGACCCCUUCUGUGCCGAAGCUAACGCAUUAAGUGCCCCGCCUGGGGAGUACGGCCGCAAGGUUA
rnacentral:rRNA from 1 species